CUGUUGGGGGGACUCCUCGGCGCCGGGCUCAUACCAUGGUGGGCCUUCAACUACGACGCCGCCCUGACCGGCGAGCCCGGGCUCGAGGGCAUCGGUUGGCACAGUCACGAGAUGCUCUUCGGUUUCACGGCUGCGAUCCUCGCGGGCUUCCUGCUCACCGCGGUCGAGAACUGGACGAGUCGAACCACCGCCAAGGGCGCCCUAUUGGCGGUCCUCGUCGGUCUGUGGGCGGUCGGGCGUCUGGUAGGAAUCGGCGGGGUGACCGCGACCAUCGCCGGGAUGGCCGAACUCAGCUUCCUACCGGUUCUGACGAUCGUCCUCGGUAUCCCGCUCAUUCUCACCUCCAGCCGGCGCAAUUACCUGUUGCUCGCGCUGCUGCCGCUGCUCUGGGU
rnacentral:rRNA from 1 species